AUUUUUCUAGUAUAUUUAGUACAACUAACUUCCAAUUAGUAAGUUUGUAAUAACAAGAAAAAUA
rnacentral:tRNA from 1 species